GGUAUUCAGAAUGCAUGUAUAUUUACAGAAUAGCACACACACAAAUGGACAAUACAUGAAAAGAUGCUCAACACCAUUAGUCCUCAAGAAAAUGAAAUGCAAAUCAGAAUGAAGUAACCAUGCUAACAAAUGAUUAAAGUUAAAAAUGACAGGUAAUAUCAAGUCAUGCCAGCACAAAUUUGGAGAAGCUGGAACUGCUGUGGUAUAUGGUGCAACCACUCUGAAACAGACUGUUUCUUACAAAGAUAAUACCCUAUGGCCAUAUUACUCAGUAUUGCCACUCCUACUCACUUAUCCAAGGGAAGUUAAAAUAUAUUUCCAGAAAUGGACUUGUAUUAAUAGUGCUCUUAGCAACUUUAUUUACAAUGGCCAAAAAUGGAAAGAAUCCAAAUACCCACCAGCAGGAAUGAGCAAAUAAGUUGUGGCAUUUUUUGACAAGAAAGUGAAAUAUUGAUACACAUGAGAAGAGGAAAAAUAUUCAAAACCAUUAUACUGAGUGAAAAGAAGACAUAUAGGGGAAUACAUACUGGAAAAGUCCAUUUAGAUGUAGUUCUUGAGAGGGUGAAAUUAAUCUAUAGUGAUGGAGAUCAACUCAGUGGUACCUGGAGUAGAGUUUAUGUGGGGAAUUGACUGCAAUGGACAAAAAGGAACUUCUGGAGGGUGCUGAAAGUUCUAUAUCUUGAGUAGGAGAGUUAUUUAUACAGGUAUAUUUAUUUGUUAAUAUGUUUAAGUUGUAUACAUACAAUGAAUGCUUUUUUCAUGUAAAUUAUAAUUCAAUAUUUGAUUAAAAAUAGAACAAUGAAAAAUUAUUAAGAUAUUUACAGUAAGCUACUCAUACAUUUUUAAAAUACAAGCAGUGCAUAUUUAAUGGAUUCACUGAUUAUAGUACGUAUGUAAAAUCAUAAAUAGUAAUGUAAGGGCAUCAGAAUCGUGAUUUCCUCUGACAUGGGAGGAACUCAGGGAGGAAGAUGAACUGCCAUGAAAUCAAGGGGCCCACAAGGGUUUCAAAUGCAUUUGUAAAUUUUGUUUUAAAGUCUAAAGCUUAUACGGCCACAUAGAUUUGUUAAAAUUAAGUAAUGAAUAAAAAACAUUAUUCUUUAAAGUUUUGUGUUUGAAAUAUUUCAUAAUUUUAAAAGUGAGUAUAAUUUAAACUUUAGUAACUUAUUACAAUGAUGUAAAUGUUUAUGUACUGUUUUCACUAAUCUAUCAAAGUAUCCUGCUCAUCUGCUUGAAUGAGGGCAAUAUGAAGCAAAAUGUUUACUUUAUUAUUUACUCCAUUCCCAAAGGACUAGCAAUCAGUGUUUUAACAUUAAAAAUAAAACCUGACAUACUGCAAGUGCUUUCCACAGGAUUCACUAGUUCUUAUUCACCUAGUAUUUAUAGUUCACUAAAAACUAUAUUCGUAUUCACUUAGUAUUUAUAGUUUCGGGUGAACUGCCAUGGAAGAUGUGAAUCCACUUGCUGGACUCUUAUACUGGAAAACAGAGCUUCAUCAGUCUAAGGGCACCACAUUCAUAAAGUUGGUGCAUACUAACAGGAUCAACAUCUAUUUCUCAGAGUUGUUAUUUAUAUUUUAAAGAAUACACUUACAAUUGUGAUAUGAAUCAUUUGCAUGAAAUAGACUUAUAAUUCCAUUUACCAUGAAUAAUAAUAGCUUUCUCUAAUGAAUCAUUAUGUGCCAAGCAUUCUUCUAAGGAUUUUAUAAAUAUUAAUCUCCUGACAAUUCAUGGUAGUAGGUAUCAUGAUUUGCCUUUUACAAAUGAGAAAACAACAGCGAAAAAAAUGGUUAAAUAACCUGCCCAGGUUUACACAUCAAAUAGGUGAAACUGCCCAGAACUGAAACUGGAACUCUGACGUUAGAGGCUACAGCAUCAGCUACCACACAUCACUGCAUCACCUAGAGACCAUCAGAUACACAGUGGCUUUGAUCUCACCUAUUUGGACACAGAACAUACAUGUGAACGCUCAUUACUCUCAUCCUUAAGAACAGACGUUUCUGAAUAUCUAAAAUAAGCCCUUUUAUGCAAGUUUUUCAUGCGAUAUAGUCAGCCAGUGGUAGUGCUACCCUCUGAAUUAAAGUAUCACGUUUGAUAUUCUUCCUGCAAUUUGCUGCCUCCUCCAAUAUGUAUUGAUUCAAACCAAGAUGUACUGUUUUCCCAAAUCUCAGGAACUCGUUGCCAGAUUUCUCUCCCUAGCUCUCAGCUCUAUUAUUUUACCCAUCCAAUUUGGCAGCCUGACAUUGCCUAUUAAGUUAAACUCAGAAAGUGUUUUUCCCAGUCUUACUCCAAUUUUCCAGACCUAAGCCAAACUAUGAUACUUCCUGCCUUAACACACCCUACACGUUAUCAAUACCCUGCUUUAGCUCCGGUAUUCUCAACAGAUCUUAUCCUCCACUCACGUUCCCCCUCUUACUAGAUAGUCCUUAUUCACAAGCAGCUGACAAACUUUUUCUCACAAUUUGAACCUCAUUGCAUUUUGUAUAACAUCAUCUUCUGCAUGAGAUGUACCUGAACUAAUACGUGCAAUUGGAAAGUUUCCCUUAGAAGAAGUAAAAUAAUGUGGCCUACGCAGCAGUGUAUUUUCUUACCAAUCUCCACUUGCUAAAAUAUCUUCUCAAGGAGCAAACAAGCACUACUGGGUCAAAGAUAAAUGAAAGUAGGGGAGCAGGGACACUGAGCAGACAGUAAUUUGUCAUUUAUUCAGGAUCACCAGUUACCCAGAAUGAAACUAAGAUCUUAACAGUAUGCAGACAAAAAUCCUUUGAACAACUGAAAGUACAAAAAGGAAUUCUGUACAAUCGGACGACAUACUAAAAACUAGUUCAAUAGUACUUUUUGUCUUAUAGACACUUCAGCAAACAUGAUUUCCCCGUACACAGCAGUUUGUAAACAGAGUUAAUGGCCAAUAUCCUUAUAUUGUGUGCAUACCAACACACAUCUCACUUCCUAAAAGCAUGUAAGCCUUCAAAACAUAAAACUUGGGGAUCACUUAUAGAAAUUCAACAUAUUUCAACAGCCACUGAAAUAUUACAGCCAAAGUACUCAAAACAUUUUUUUAAUUACAUUAUAUUUACUCCAUAAGGAGAAAGGUAGGGGUUUAACAUGUUUUUUUCCCCCCCCUCAAAGACUCCAUCAAAACUAAUUAGACUAUAAAAGCAGGGAGGCACAGUUUCAAAAGAAACUUGGAACCAAAUAUCCCACGAGGUGAGACAGGUGCUGAGAUGUAGAGGCGGGUCUGGCCUCGGCUGCCAAUCUGUACACACACGGAGGCAGCCACCAGGGCCAGAGAGGACAGUAAGCAACAGCAGGUGGUGAGUCCGGCAGGAGGCAUCGCAUCACAGCGGGCAGGUGGGGCAAGGCUGAAGAGAAGCCAGGAGCUGGCACCGCUCAGAUCCAGGAAAGCUGGAGGAAGGGAAGCGGGUCACGAGGAGUCAGGGUCCUACUGGCCAGCCAGGCUUAGAAGCAUCGCCCUUCCUCGGGGGCAGACACAAAGUAGACAGACUCAGGCUGGCUUCAAUAACCCCUCACUUUC
ensembl:lncRNA